rnacentral:tRNA from 1 species
GCGCCUGUAGCUCAGUGGAUAGAGCACCCGCCUCCUAAGUGGGUGGCCGAGAGUUCAAAUCUCUCCGGGCGCAC